CCAGCCGGCCGGGCGGCCGCACCCGCAAGCGCCGAAAGGUGGCGGGUGAGGAAAGUCCGGGCUCCAUGGAAAAACGGUGCCGGGUAAUGCCCGGCGGGGGCGACCCCAGGGAAAGUGCCACAGAAACCAGACCACCUCGCGUUUCGCGGGGCAAGGGUGAAACGGUGGGGUAAGAGCCCACCGCGCUCCUGGCAACAGGAGCGGCAUGGUAAACCCCACCGGGAGCAAGACCGAAUAGGGACGGCGCGGCGGAGCAAUCCGCCGGGGGCUUUUCCAGCCUGCCGUCCGGGUGGGUCGCGCGAGGUGCGUGGCGACACGCACCCAAGAGGAAUGGCCGCCACGUUUUGGCAUCCCGCAAGGGAGGCCGAGGCCAUACAGAACCCGGCUUACAGGCCGGCUGGCAUC
rnacentral:RNase_P_RNA from 1 species